AAAUAUCAGCUGGUAAUUCUGGGAGCAAUGCCCAAUAUGAAACACUCGGAAUUUCAGUUGGUAUAUAC
rnacentral:pre_miRNA from 1 species